UACGUAGGGUGCGAGCGUUGUCCGGAAUUAUUGGGCGUAAAGAGCUCGUAGGCGGCUUGUCGCGUCGGAUGUGAAAGCCCGGGGCUUAACUCCGGGUCUGCAUUCGAUACGGGCAGGCUAGAGUUCGGUAGGGGAGAUCGGAAUUCCUGGUGUAGCGGUGAAAUGCGUAGAUAUCGGGAGGAACACCAGUGGCGAAGGCGACUACCUGGCCUGUUUCUUGACGCUGAGGCGCGAAAGCUAGGGGAGCAAACGGG
rnacentral:rRNA from 1 species